CCUACGGAGGCUGCAGUGAGGAAUAUUGGUCAAUGGACGAGAGUCUGAACCAGCCAAGUAGCGUGAAGGAUGACUGCCCUAUGGGUUGUAAACUUCUUUUAUAUGGGAAUAAAAUGUUCCACGUGUGGGAUUUUGUAUGGACCAUAUGAAUAAGGAUCGGCUAACUCCGUGCCAGCAGCCGCGGUAAUACGGAGGAUCCGAGCGUUAUCCGGAUUGAUUGGGUUUAAAGGGAGCGUAGGUGGAUUGUUAAGUCAGUUGUGAAAGUUUGCGGCUCAACCGUAAAAUUGCAGUUGAAACUGGCAGUCUUGAGUACAGUAGAGGUGGGCGGAAUUCGUGGUGUAGCGGUGAAAUGCUUAGAUAUCACGAAGAACUCCGAUUGCGAAGGCAGCUCACUGGACUGCAACUGACACUGAGGCUCGAAAGUGUGGGUAUCAAACAGGAUUAGAUACCCGAGUAGUC
rnacentral:rRNA from 1 species